UAAUUUUGUUUAUUUUUUAAUGUUUAAUUUUUAAAAAUAUUUUUAUUUUUAUUUUUUAAUUUGUUUUUAAUUUAGUUUGCUAAUUUUUAAUUUUGUUUAAUUUUUAGGGUAUUUUGUUAAAAAUAUGCAUGUUCAUGCAACAGAUCCAACACUAUUAUUGCAAACUACUUCCAGUGUCACAGAAGCUUCUCACCAAGAAACAGCAACAGCUGAUUCAAAACCAGUAACAACCGGACCAGAAAAUGAGUCGAGUCCCGUUCCAGAAGAACGUUUGUCAUCUACAGUAGUGGCAGGAACCAGCAUUUCCCUUGUGAUCAUCUUGAUAUGUGUAAUUGCUUUUUUUUGGUUCAAAUGGAAAUCGUCUAAGGAAAGUUCAGCUGAAAUUAAUUCUGACCCCUCCAGUGAAGCUGUGGUGACCUUAAAAAAUACCAAGUUAUGAAAACCAAUGAGGAAAGAAGAAAUGAAAGUCCUCUCAGUUGAUAGAUAUUUAAAGGGCUCUUCCACAAGAGCAGAAUAUUCAAAAAAUAAAUUCUCAAAACUAAAGAGAUCCAAGUUAUAAAAAAUGGCACACUUAGGCUAUGUAUAUACUAAGGAAUUAAACCUGCACAGGAACAUUGGCACUGUUGAGACAUAGCUGGAAUAGCCCUUGUUUAAACUUGUAUUGUGUGUAUUACCUAUUGGGAAUGGCUCCUGGAAGCCUCCAACUUCCAAAAUUUGGCAAGUGCCACAACCAAGUUACCUGAAUAAACAACAGCAUUCCAGUGCAUGGGAGUUUCCUAGACAUUGUUUAAUUUACUAGUCUAGAUACAUACCCUUAUUGUUUAAAGCUAUUUCUAAAUGACAUAUUUGAUGGACAUAUUCACUCAUUUAGGGACAGGUAUUAUCAGUGAUUAAUCAAAGUUGGCCACUGCAAACCUUCAUUUACUCACUGCACUGUGUUUGGCUUCUGCACUGUAGCUGUGCAAAAAUCUAGUCAUUUAAAUAUGUCUUGUUGUCAUAAGCUUAUUAAGAUGUCUUAGACUGGAGCAUGAAUUUAAAGUUGAACUAUGUUGCACUCUAAUUCCAGUCCUUGAUAAAAAUACUAAUAAUUAUAAUAAUCAGGAGUCAGUUAAGGCUGAAAACCUGAACUUUACUGGAUGGUACCAUCAUUAUUCCACUACUUCCCCUAAUUGAGUAGCACUUACUGACUGGUGUCAGAGGCACUCAGCAGCAAGUGACUUCAAUGGGGUUCUGCUUGAGCAGGGUCUGGGGGAUGUGGGGCAGAAGGGGUGAGCAGACAUGCCCAAAGAGCUGCCCUCCUGUAAUGUAUUAAGGGAAACAGAACUGAAGAGGUAAGUUUGAGACAGUGUCAGAUUGCACUACCAAAACAUUCCAGUGUGAGCUUUGGCAAGUGACCUUUACUUCUGAAUCUGAGCUCCGGUUCUACAGGACAAAACUGGUAGCAUGUCCCUUCCUCAUAUUUAUCUGUGAAGAUGAAUACAUUUAAGAGCAUGCCAUGUCUAAGUCCCACAGUAAUGAAGCUCUACUGAGAGUUGUAAAUAUGUGGGAAAACACAGAUUGUGUUUCUCUGUAAAUCUUACCAAGCCAGUUAUUUUCCUAGUAACAGUAGAGAAGAACGCUAUUCAGCUUGAGAUAUUGAUUGACAUUCUAUGCAAAUAAAAGCACAAAAGCAGUUGUUUUUUGUCAGGGUCUGGACUUACUUCAUGAAAGCCAAAGAUACAUUUUCAUUUGACUUUAGUGAAAUAAAAGUUCAUUCUCUGUGCAAAGGAAUGAUUGAAAGGUAACCACUUAGUCCAUCUGCUCAACAGAUAAAGGUAUUUAUUCUUUUCUGUGUGUUUAAUUCUGAGCAGCAGUAUUAUUUGGGGUGGGAAGGUUGUGCUAUAGCUGUUUCAUAUGUUUUUGUUGUUGUUUUAAUGUACAUCUUAUGUGUUUGUUUUUUUUUUUCCAUUAAACAGAAGUGCACUAUAUGCUUAAAUGUUUUACUAGAUACUAGAUCAAGGGUGCCCUUGGCAACAAACAGUGUUUAGCUGAAUGCAGAAGAAAUAAGUAUAACAAACAUUUGUCCAUUUUCCAGGAAUAAUUCAUAGAAACCAUGUUUAUGCUCCUGUGUGAAUGACUCUGCUUUUGGAAAUGUUUUCAGAAUGGCUGUAUUUUAUCUGAACUUUUACAGAAUCCAUGUACUAGAAAUUAUAUUUACUAUUUGUAAUUUGGUGUUCACUUCCUGUUAUUGCACUGAAAUGGUUGUGAUUGUUCAAGUAAUCAGAAAAAUUCUCUCUAGCUUGGGUGACCAGUCCUGCAAGAGUGGAUGCUGAAUACUUUGUGGUUAAACUACCUGUGAACUUGAAAUUAGUUGUGUAAAUGAAGUCUGUGCAACAUAUGGCCUGACACAUGCACUCACAAAGCAGUUUACUUGGCUCAUUACACUGCAGUUUCAUAGUGUGCUGAUCAGCAAAGACUGAUGGGCAUUACAUAUGGAUGGAGUAGAUGGCAGUAGCAGCUUGCUGCGAAACAGUGGGGAGAUGGCAUUGAAAACGUAGGUUUAUACAAUGAGAUAAAAAAAUAAAUAAAAGAACAGUGUGCCAUGGCUCUGAUUUGAAAAUGAGAUGUUAUAGAAAAGCUAGAGAGGUUUGGCAAGGGACUAGGGAAUUUCCAACUUGUAACAAAUAAUGACAGCAGAAAGCUAGCUAUAUUUGUGAGUAACUUGCAAGUGAAAAUAAUGGAAAAUCAACUCAAUACCUCUGGAAUGAUAAAUUCAAUCUUCUUUAGCAUUGCUUCACAGAUUUGAAGACUGUAAGAAUAAUUCCUUUUCCCACUUGUGUGUGUCCUUUUCAGACAGAAUUCACGAAAUCAGAUCUGUCAGAAGAGGCUUAUUGUGGCUGCAAGUGGAUGCUUAUUAUCCCCUCUGUCCUAAAGUAGCAAUACCUUGGGAAAACUACACACACAUCUGUACUGUCACAGCAAUAAUGCAGCCCAUGCCAUUGGUUUCCUUAGGCACUUCUGAUUUGUUUAUUGCUGUACUAUAAAGUUGUAAGAAUGGUCAUAGUAGGUAAAACCAAAGGCCUACUGAGCCCAGUACUCUGCAGUCAGCAAUGUUAGUAAUAGGAGUCUAAACGAAAAGGUGAGAGCAGGGCAGGUUUAGAGUAACUUUCUUCCCUUUGUGUUAAGGCUUUUUCAACUUUACAGACUUUUCAACAGUAUAGAUUUGACUGGUACAACACCCCAGAGACAUAGGGGAGAUCUUGAGCUACUGAGUUCUGCAGCUCAGGAUCUCCUUUUUCCCUCUUUUUUUUUUUUCUUCAUCUACUGUGUAGUAAGCUUAUUCAUUGUCCUCUUGAUCUUUUUACUAUGAACAAAACCAGUGGACAGUUACUCUCUUUUCUCCUUUUCCAUGUCGUUCAGGAUUUUAUAGGCCAUGAACAUAAUUGUUUUGUCCCCCAAAGUAACAGUGUUGCUUACAGUACAUUGACCUAAGGUUUAACACCUUAGAAAUGUGAAAACACAUCUGCUUUUAAUAACUGGAGGCUGAAAAUUGCAAGCUUACUGUACUUUCUGAGGUAAUAGUUGCAAUUUUUACAGUUUCUGCAAAAUGUUUAAAAGUUAGUGUUGACACUAUGGAACACAAGUUAGAAGCAAAAAAUCGUGCUUCUUCAGUUUCAGUAUGCUUUGUUAAAGAGCACUGACAGUAUUUCAUAUUGUAACCCCUGUAUUAGUUCUGUAUCAUCCCUGUAUCUGUAUGUGCUAGUUAGCCUUCUUGUUCAAUCCAAAAGACUUACACAUAACAUAAACGGAGAUAGGAGGAUUCACCCAUAUGUCCCAUGAGCCUCUUUCUCAUAAGUAGAGAAAAACAUUUUCAGCCUGACAGUGGGAAGUUAGGCAUUUUUAAUCCUGAAACCACUCUUUUGAAUCUGCAGCACUUGCUUUUAGAAGAUAUAAUAGAGCUGACAAAAACCUAAAAUAAAGAAGGAAGAUACUGAGUUCCUUUCAACUCCUUUGGGAUGUAACUAAAUGACUUAUCAAACAAGACAAAUUGAAGGUUAUGCACACUUUAAAAUAAUAAUGUAAGUAUAUUUGAAUAUUGAUCUUGCUUAGAAAGUUGUAUACUGAUUGUUCAGUCAGGCACAUGUACAUAUUUCCUGAAGCAUUCUAGUUUAAGCAAUAACCUGCAAGACGACUAUGUCAAUUUUUUCACACAACGAGUAUCACUAUUACCUACUCACUGUCAACAGAUAAGUAGUAUCUAGUUACAGAAUUUAUUUGUGGGGUAGACAGCAGGUGUGAUCACCAGCAGGCCAUCUCACACCAUCUCAGACAGGACUGUGAAAGCACCUUGCAGCGAAUUGUCAAAAAUCAGUGGGACAGCAUCUGAUAUUCAGCAUUCCUUGCCAGGAAGUGUUAGACAGACAUACACUCACAAAAUAUCUUUCUGCCUUAUAAACAUUCCCGAUAGUGAGCUUUGAACCAGGCUGGAGGCAAAUGGGUUGUCUUUUCUUGAUAACACUCGUUCUUCUGAUAAAAAGCCAUGGGCCAGUUGAUGGGGCAUUGCAAACCAGUUGUUUUCAUAGCAUUAAGUUGUGUUCUCAGGCAUCACUCUAUGAUCAUGUUUUAGUAUUAUGCAAGUAAUUGACUGUGGUUUUCAAUUCCCAAUGUGUGUUCAAGUUACAGUAGAGAGAAGUGCCAAAACGUCAAAACGUAACAUCUGCGCAGUCCAAUUUGGGGACUCCAGUCUCUGUACAGGAGCAGGGAGGGGUGUGUUGUAACUUAUGCCAUUGAUAGGGUUUGCGUGAGGUC
rnacentral:lncRNA from 1 species